GCAUAAUUCUGAGUGACAGAUGAACAUUUGAUUGAUUAAAUCAACAACAGGUCUACAGGACAUGAAAAGUGUAUUGGAAAAACUGCCAAGGAAGCCAUUUGACAGCAGCAGAAUAGAAUAAUAAGGAACAGAAUAUGCCACAACAUUGUUUGUCACUAUGCACAAACCAGGCCUGGCAACAUUGGGAGGUAUGAUUGACCGGGAAAAG